CAACUUGAGAGUUUGAUCCUGGCUCAGAACGAACGCUGGCGGCAGGCCUAAUACAUGCAAGUCGAGCGCGCCCUUCGGGGUGAGCGGCGGACGGGUGAGUAACGCGUGGGAAUAUGCCCUUCUCUAAGGAAUAGCCUCUGGAAACGGAGAGUAAUACCUUAUACGCCCUUUGGGGGAAAGAUUUAUCGGAGAAGGAUUAGCCCGCGUUAGAUUAGGUAGUUGGUGGGGUAAUGGCCUACCAAGCCUACGAUCUAUAGCUGGUUUGAGAGGAUGAUCAGCCACACUGGGACUGAGACACGGCCCAGACUCCUACGGGAGGCAGCAGUAGGGAAUCUUAGACAAUGGGGGCAACCCUGAUCUAGCCAUGCCGCGUGUGUGAUGAAGGCCCUAGGGUCGUAAAGCACUUUCGCCAGAGAUGAUAAUGACAGUAUCUGGUAAAGAAACCCCGGCUAACUCCG
rnacentral:rRNA from 1 species